GAAGGUGACCUUAUUUUAGGUGACAUUUGCUAGGGUUAAUUGUGCUUCUCUGGCUUCUCUUCUUCCCCACUUUUUCAUGUGGGUUCACACUCGGUCAAAGAGGAAAAUUUUCUCCAGAGGAGGACAACCUUCCCCAAUGGGAAGAUCAUUCUUCUGUCAAGGGUAUACUGAUAGCUGCUCAUCUCUGCUAGAACCCCUGAACAACUUCCCAAGGUCCAUAAGCCUCCAGUCAUGAUAACCAUAGGCUCCCUGGUUACCAACCAUCUCCUUUAAAGUGAUGUACAUUUGUUGCAGGU
rnacentral:sRNA from 1 species